rnacentral:ncRNA from 22 species
CACCGUAGAGCGAUGGAACGGACAGCCAUCGGGCACACGAAAGUGGUAGUCGAUGCAGGGUAGGUCAACCUGCCUACGGUG